rnacentral:rRNA from 1 species
ACGGAAGGCAGCAGUGGGGAAUAUUGGACAAUGGGGGAAACCCUGAUCCAGCGACGCCGCGUGAGUGAAGAAGUAUUUCGGUAUGUAAAGCUCUUUAAGCAGGAAAGAAAAUGACGGUACCUGCAGAAUAAGCCCCGGCUAACUACGUGCCAGCAGCCGCGGUAAUACGUAGGCGGCAAGCGUUAUCCGGAUUUACUGGGUGUAAAGGGAGCGUAGACGGCAAUGCAAGUCUGAAGUGAAAGCCCGUGGCUUAACUGCGGGACUGCUUUGGAAACUGUAUGGCUAGAGUGUCGGAGAGGUGAGUGGAAUUCCCAGUGUAGCGGUGAAAUGCGUAGAUAUUGGGAGGAACACCAGUGGCGAAGGCGGUUUACUGGACGACAACUGACGCUGAUACACGAAGGCGUGGGGAGCAAACAGGAUUAGAUACCCUGGUA